UAAAAGCUUGGUCCUGGCUUUAAUGUCAGCCUUAAUUAAUCUUACACAUGCAAGCCUCCACGAACCAGUGACAAUGCCCUUACAUACACCAGGAGCCGGUAUCAGGCACAACAUUAAAUGUUAGCCCAUAACACCUAGCUUAGCCACACCCACACGGGCAUGCAGCAGUGAUAAAUAUUGACCAAUAAGCAUAAGCUUGACUCAGCCAUAAUUAAUUAGAGCUGGUAAAUCUUGUGCCAGCCACCGCGGUUACACAAGAAACUCAAGUUGACAUUUAACGGCGUAAAGUGUGAUUAAAAGAAAACCAAACAAAUAAGAUUAAAAAUUUACUAAGCCGUUAUACGCACAUAGUAAAAUAACACACUCAACACCGAAAGUAAUCUUAAUAUAAGGUCACUCAAACUCACGACUGCUGAGGUACAAACUGGGAUUAGAUACCCCACUAUGCUCAGCCAUAAAACUUGGACAAAUACAACAUUUUCCCCGCCAGAGUAUUACGAGCAACAGCUUAAAACCCAAAGGACUUGGCGGUGUCCUAAAUCCAUCCAGAGGAGCCUGUUCUAUAAUCGAUAAUCCACGUUUAACCUCACCACCAUUUGCUAAUUCAGCUUAUAUACCACCGUCAUUAGCCUACCUUAUUGAAAGAAUUAAAGUAAGCAAGAACGAAUUUACCAAAUACGCCAGGUCAAGGUGUAGCAUAUAUGGUGGAAAGAAAUGGGCUACAUUUUCUUAAAAAGAAUAUACUACGAAUAACAAAAUGAAAUUAUGUUUAAAGGCGGAUUUGGUAGUAAGAAAAGACAAUAAUACUUAUCUUAAAUUGGCCCUAGGACACGCACACACCGCCCGUCACCCUCAUCAACACUAACACCCGACUAAUUAAAUAAGUACGGCCGAAAUAUUAUUUAGACGAGGUAAGUCGUAACAUGGUAAGCGCACUGGAAAGUGCUCUUGGAUUAC
rnacentral:ncRNA from 1 species